rnacentral:rRNA from 1 species
UACGGGGGGGGCAAGCGUUGUUCGGAAUUACUGGGCGUAAAGGGCUCGUAGGUGGCCAACUAAGUCAGACGUGAAAUCCCUCGGCUUAACCGGGGAACUGCGUCUGAUACUGGAUGGCUUGAGUUUGGGAGAGGGACGCGGAAUUCCAGGUGUAGCGGUGAAAUGCGUAGAUAUCUGGAGGAACACCGGUGGCGAAGGCGGCGGUCCUAGGACCAACACUGGACACUGAUGAGCGAAAGCCAGGGGAGCAAAGCGGG